AAGUCAUUAGUGUAAUGGUAGCACACGAGAUUCCAAACCUCUUAGUCCGAGUUCGAUUCUUGGAUGACUUGCCA
rnacentral:tRNA from 1 species